rnacentral:rRNA from 1 species
CCUACGGGUGGCAGCAGUGAGGAAUAUUGGUCAAUGGUCGGGAGACUGAACCAGCCAAGCCGCGUGAGGGAUGAAGGUACAGAGUAUCGUAAACCUCUUUUGUCAGGGAACAAAGGCGGGGACGCGUCCCCGGAUGAGUGUACCCGAAGAAAAAGCAUCGGCUAACUCCGUGCCAGCAGCCGCGGUAAUACUGAGGAUGCGAGCGUUAUACGGAUUUAUUGGGUUUAAAGGGUGCGCAGGCGGUAUGUUAAGUCAGCGGUAAAAGCCCGGGGGUCAACCCCGGCCCGCCGUUGAAACUGGGUUUCUCGAGUUGGAGAGAAGUAUGCGGAAUUCGUGGUGUGGCGGUGAAAUGCAUAGAUAUCGCGCAGAACUCCGAUUGCGAAGGCAGCAUGCCGGCUCCACACUGACGCUGAGGCACGAAAGCGUGGGUAUCGAACAGGAUUAGAUACCCGAGUAGUC